rnacentral:rRNA from 1 species
AUAAGACAUAGCAAGUACGAACGGAAGUCGUAAUAAAAUAGGAGAGAAGAUUAUCAGAUUGAAGUUUAUACAAUGGCUUAGUGGCGGACUGGUGAGUAAUGUAUAAGUAACCUGCCUAUAAGAGGGGAACAACAGUUGGAAACGACUGCUAAUACCGCAUAUGCCAUAGGAACCGCAUGGUUCUAGUGGGAAAGGAGAAAUCCGCUUAUAGAUGGACUUAUAUCUGAUUAGUUAGUUGGUGGGGUAAAGGCUUACCAAGACGACGAUCAGUAGCCGAACUGAGAGGUUAAACGGCCACAUUGGGACUGAGAUACGGCCCAGACUCCUACGGGAGGCAGCAGUCGGGAAUAUUGCGCAAUGGAGGAAACUCUGACGCAGUGACGCCGCGUGCAGGAAGAAGGUUUUCGGAUUGUAAACUGCUUUAGACAGGGAAGAAAAAAUGACAGUACCUGUAGAAUAAGCUCCGGCUAACUACGUGCCAGCAGCAGC